rnacentral:lncRNA from 1 species
AUGCACACGCGUCUCUAUAUACAGGUAUGUACGUAGGAAUAACCCGAAUCUGGCCCAACCCUUCGCAUUUAUUCCUUUAGAAGUUUGAGGGAGAUGGAGUUGUUACUGUGUGACCGCUAUGAGGGAGGUUGUGGUGAAGAGGCCUCUUCUCCCAGUAACAGCUACAGGACGUCAGAAUGAAGGGAAAUCUCUCCCUGUUGCUCGCUGGUGGUUUCUCCUGUGCCAUGCCAAGGUGUGAGCCUACAGAUUUCGGCACUUCUUUCCUGGAUCUGUUUGAAGAAUGAACGUCACUGAGAAGGCUGUGUGAUCCAAACCAGCUUUCCUGCUCAUGGAGGGACAGAGACUCCAGCAAAAUGGAUGAACCUCGCCAUGGAAACAUACAGGCGUUCCAAAUGCCCUUGAGGUGCCUUGCCUGGCCUUCAGCCACCUCUUCAAAAAGUGUGAGGUCUCCAUAGGCCACAGAAUCACAGAAUAAUAAAAUAAUUCAGCUUGGAUGGGACAUCCAUAGAUCCCUGUCCAACCCUCUAAGCAGGGCCAUCUAGCACACAGCUCAGGGCCUCGCACAGUGUUGAGUAUCUCCAAGGAUGGAGACUCCACAUUGUCUCUGGGGAACUUGCUCCAGCACUUAACCAUUUGCUUGGUAAAAACCAUUUUUUUUCCCAUGCACACAGCCAGAGUUUCUCUUGUUCCAGCUUGUGACCGUUGCCUUCUGUCCUGUUGCUGAGCUCCUCUGAGUCAUGGAUGUUGCAAAUACAGCAGGGCAUUGAUGACAGCCUAUAUUUGGGCAAUCCAAUUCUACUCGGGGUUUAUUUUACUCAAUGAACAUGCAACUUGUCUGCACAGGGGGGAGAAAAUAGCAUCUGCCCCAGCUUCUGACCCGUGAAAACAACUGGACAAAAUGAUGACAUUUGCUUAUUUACUUUUCCCACAGGUAAAUGAGCUCACAGCUUUCAGUAGGCUACUGAAUACCUGGUAUUCUUUGCUCAGGAUUAUUCCAAACACUCAUUCGUAUGUCCACCAGUUGUUGUUUGUAGUUUAUAUGGAGCUAGACUAGGACCAAACAGCAAGAGGCUAAAUUCCCAUCAAACAUGAGGAAAAGUUCUUCACCCUCAGGGUGGUGAAGCACUGAGCAGGCUGCUCACAGAGGCUGGGGCUCUCCAUCCCGUCUGAACUUGCCUGGCCCAGGGCAACCUGCUCUGACUUGGCAGCGGGCCCUGCGGGCAGGUAACUGCGAUGAGGCCCAUCCCAUCCAAAUGUUUGGGUUUACCAGGGUGUUGUGUCAGCUGGAGGAACAUAAAGCUGUUGGUCCUGCUGGCAAAGACCAUCCCAGUGAGAGAAGGAGGAAGAAGAAGAGGCUGGAAUGGUCAGAAUGCCCACCUGCGGCCCGGAGGUCAAGCCCCGUGCAGGGCCUUCAGCCUGCCCAAGGGGCUCAGAUUCUUUGGGGUACAGGCCACCAGGCCGCCCUGCCACCUCCAUGGUUUGGGUGUAGCCCUCCAGUUUUGGUGAGGGUCAGAGACCGGAGCUUGUAGAGAGGCAGCCAGGUUGUGUCAGAAAGCCUCUGGGUCAUGCACAAGCCCUGGCCAGCCUUAUUUACCACACAGAUGGAUCCUCUGAGGUUACAUCUGUUUGCAAGGAAGGCUGAAGUCCACUUCUCUGGGUGACAUUGCUGGCUGGGUCCCACACAAGUGACCAGCAUCACACCAGGCCAGUGGGAUCAUGGGCUGUAAAUGCUUGUCUGCCCAUCAUACUGUCAUUGAUUAACAGAUGGAAACAAAGCAGCUUGGCAGAGCAAAUCACCCCUUGAGUAGUUGGCCCUGGAUGAUCUGCUGCUGAGCACACUGAACGUGGUGAACCUGGGGUCGUUGCCCCUGCUUGUAUGGAGAUGCCUGAGCUGUUCAUUACCAUCACACCAAGCAUGACUGUAAAUGACCUUCUGUACCCUUGAUUGUAACUUCUGAGUACAGUAAACACCGCCUGGACAUCGCCUCUGCAAAAAUCUCCCCUUUCUUCCCCUGGGGCUCUUGUCAGCUCCAGGAUGACAGGAAGCAUCUGCAUCAGCUCCCAGCAACACUUCAGUGGUGCUUGCAGACAAAUUCGUAUUUCCCAAAGAUGGGAAGAAGAUUCCCAGAAGAAGGAGGUCAACUGCCUCAGACAGAAGGGCCAUGGAAGAGCCCCUUGGACACUCCCCUUGGCGGACAAUAUGCUGAUGCACGUUAGUGACUUGAUAGCGAGCUCUUGCUUUGUGGGGGCUGCUGAAGGAUGUCCUUGGUGCUUCUGUGCAGUUACGGGCUCACUGAGUCUCUCCACCAGCAUGCCACUGUGGGUUUGGCUGCAAGGCUUUCAAAGCCUGAGUGCAGCGAGCAGUGCCCGGGUGGCGUUUCUGAUGGCAUCCAUGAUGUGUCUUCUGGUAGAGGAAUGAAUAGAGCUGCUAACCACUGACCCUUGCAAACCUGCCAGAGGGAAAAAAAACAAUAAAGGAAAGUAGGCAGCAGAGCAGGGCCACACUAUUUCUAGCAACUGAGAGCUCUGAUCAGGAGAUGGACAGGUGAGGAUUUCAUUGCACUGGGAGGCAGGCUGCAGUGUCUUCCAGGCCCGAGCGGUCUGCCUGCUGUGGGCCACCACAGCAUACCCAAUAGUGUGCUAACUGUUGCUGUUUAAUCUCCAGCAUCUUGUUUGACGCCUCGGUGUAAUAAUGAUGGAAAUAAUAAAUGGCGUGCUACAAAGCCGUGUGCGUGGACUCGCUUUGUGCUGACGGCGGUGCCUUGCUCCCGGCGCGGCUCGGUGCCAGCCUGCUUCCAGCUGAGUCAGUUGGAGCAGGCAAAGGCCCAGCUCAACAGCUGGC